rnacentral:misc_RNA from 1 species
GAUGAAGAACGUAGCGAAAUGCGAUACGUAAUGUGAAUUGCAGAAUUCAGUGAAUCAUCGAAUCUUUGAACGCACAUUGCGCCCCCUGGUAUUCCGGGGGGCAUGCCUGUUCGAGCGUCAUUACAACCCUCAAGCUCUGCUUGGUAUUGGGCCCCGCCAGUUCUGGCGGGCCCUAAAGUCAGUGGCGGUGCCUUCCGGCUCCGAGCGUAGUAAUUCUUCACGCUCUGGAGACCCGGUUGUGUGCUUGCCAACAACCCCCAAUUUUUUAAGGUUGACCUCGGAUCAGGUAGGGAUACCCGCUGAACUUAAGCAUAUCAAUAAGCGGAGGA